rnacentral:ncRNA from 1 species
CUCACUGGAUAGGGGUGCCCGCCGGACGGGCUGAGAGUGCAGCGCACAACCCUGGAACCUGAACCGGUUAGCACCGGCGGAGGAAAGGCCAGCCUGCCCGCGC